GGCCUUGACAUGCAGAGUAACUUUCCAGAGAUGGAUUGGUGCCGUUCGGGAACCCUGACACAGGUGCUGCAUGGCUGUCGUCAGCUCGUGUCGUGAGAUGUUGGGUUAAGUCCCGUAACGAGCGCAACCCUUGUCCUUAGUUACCAGCACGUUAUGGUGGGCACUCUAAGGAGACUGCCGGUGACAAACCGAAGGAAGGUGGGGAUGACGCCAAGUCAUCAUGGCCCUUACGGCCUGGGCUACACACGUGCUACAAUGGUCGGUACAAAGGGUUGCCAAGCCGCGAGGUGGAGCUAAUCCCAUAAAACCGAUCGUAGUCCGGAUCGCAGUCUGCAACUCGACUGCGUGAAGUCGGAAUCGCUAGUAAUCGUGAAUCAGAAUGUCACGGUGAAUACGUUCCCGGGCCUU
rnacentral:rRNA from 1 species